UCGAGAAUUUUUGACAAUGGGGGAAACCCUGAUCGAGCGACGCCGCGUGGAGGAUGCAGGUCUUCGGAUUGUAAACUCCUGUCAUUGGGGAACAAUGCACAGAUAUUAACUGUAUUUGUGUUGAUAGUACCCGAAGAGGAAGGGACGGCUAACUCCGUGCCAGCAGCCGCGGUAAUACAGAGGUCUCAAGCGUUGUUCGGAUUCAUUGGGCGUAAAGGGUGCGUAGGCGGCGCGGUAAGUCGGGUGUGAAAUCUCGGAGCUUAACUCCGAAACUGCAUUCGAUACUGCCGUGCUUGAGGCCUGGAGAGGAGACUGGAAUUUACGGUGUGGCGGUGAAAUGCGUAGGUAUCGUAAGGAAGGCCAGUGGCGAAAGCGGGUCUCUGGACAGGUCCUGACGCAGAGGCACGAAGGUCAGGGGAGCAAGCGGG
rnacentral:rRNA from 1 species